GAGCAGAUUAGCUCAGUUGGUUAAAGCGUGGUGCUGAUAACACCAAGGUCACGGGUUCGAUCCACGUUCAGUCCC
rnacentral:tRNA from 1 species